rnacentral:rRNA from 1 species
GGGUUAAUAUUCCCAUACUUCUGUGUAAUGCGAUGAGAGGACGGAGAAGGUUAAGUCAGCCUGGCGUUGGUAGUCCAGGUGAAAGACAGUAGGCAUGCAUCUUAGGCAAAUCCGGGGUGCUCUAUGCUGAGAGUCGAUAUCAAGCUGUACUUGUAUAGUGAAGUGGCUGAUACCAUACUUCCAAGAAAAGUCUCUAAGCUUCAGUUACACAGGAAUCGUACCCGAAACCGACACAGGUGGUCAGGUCGAGUAGACCAAGGCGCUUGAGAGAACUCUGCUGAAGGAACUAGGCAAAAUGGUAC